GGGUUGUGAGGUUAAGCGACUAAGCGUACACGGUGGAUGCCCUGGCAGUCAGAGGCGAUGAAGGACGUGCUAAUCUGCGAUAAGCGCCGGUAAGGUGAUAUGAACCGUUAUAACCGGCGAUUUCCGAAUGGGGAAACCCAGUGUGAUUCGUCACACUAUCAUUAACUGAAUCCAUAGGUUAAUGAGGCGAACCGGGGGAACUGAAACAUCUAAGUACCCCGAGGAAAAGAAAUCAACCGAGAUUCCCCCAGUAGCGGCGAGCGAACGGGGAGGAGCCCAGAGCCUGAAUCAGCAUGUGUGUUAGUGGAAGCGUCUGGAAAGGCGCGCGAUACAGGGUGACAGCCCCGUACACAAAAGCGCAUGUGCUGUGAGCUCGAUGAGUAGGGCGGGACACGUGGUAUCCUGUCUGAAUAUGGGGGGACCAUCCUCCAAGGCUAAAUACUCCUGACUGACCGAUAGUGAACCAGUACCGUGAGGGAAAGGCGAAAAGAACCCCGGCGAGGGGAGUGAAAAAGAACCUGAAACCGUGUACGUACAAGCAGUGGGAGCACAGGUUUACCUGUGUGACUGCGUACCUUUUGUAUAAUGGGUCAGCGACUUAUAUUCUGUAGCAAGGUUAACCGUAUAGGGGAGCCGGAGGGAAACCGAGUCUUAACCGGGCGUUAAGUUGCAGGGUAUAGACCCGAAACCCGGUGAUCUAGCCAUGGGCAGGUUGAAGGUUGGGUAACACUAACUGGAGGACCGAACCGACUAAUGUUGAAAAAUUAGCGGAUGACCUGUGGCUGGGGGUGAAAGGCCAAUCAAACCGGGAGAUAGCUGGUUCUCCCCGAAAGCUAUUUAGGUAGCGCCUCGUGAAUUCAUCUCCGGGGGUAGAGCACUGUUUCGGCUAGGGGGCCAUCCCGGCUUACCAACCCGAUGCAAACUGCGAAUACCGGAGAAUGUUAUCACGGGAGACACACGGCGGGUGCUAACGUCCGUCGUGAAGAGGGAAACAACCCAGACCGCCAGCUAAGGUCCCAAAGUCAUGGUUAAGUGGGAAACGAUGUGGGAAGGCCCAGACAGCCAGGAUGUUGGCUUAGAAGCAGCCAUCAUUUAAAGAAAGCGUAAUAGCUCACUGGUCGAGUCGGCCUGCGCGGAAGAUGUAACGGGGCUAAACCAUGCACCGAAGCUGCGGCAGCGACACUCAGGUGUUGUUGGGUAGGGGAGCGUUCUGUAAGCCUGUGAAGGUGGCCUGUGAGGGUUGCUGGAGGUAUCAGAAGUGCGAAUGCUGACAUAAGUAACGAUAAAGCGGGUGAAAAGCCCGCUCGCCGGAAGACCAAGGGUUCCUGUCCAACGUUAAUCGGGGCAGGGUGAGUCGACCCCUAAGGCGAGGCCGAAAGGCGUAGUCGAUGGGAAACGGGUUAAUAUUCCCGUACUUGGUGUUACUGCGAAGGGGGGACGGAGAAGGCUAUGUUGGCCGGGCGACGGUUGUCCCGGUUUAAGCGUGUAGGUGUGUGUUCCAGGUAAAUCCGGUUCACUUUAACACUGAGGCGUGACGACGAGGCACUACGGUGCUGAAGCAACAAAUGCCCUGCUUCCAGGAAAAGCCUCUAAGCAUCAGGUAACAUCAAAUCGUACCCCAAACCGACACAGGUGGUCAGGUAGAGAAUACCAAGGCGCUUGAGAGAACUCGGGUGAAGGAACUAGGCAAAAUGGUGCCGUAACUUCGGGAGAAGGCACGCUGACACGUAGGUGAAGUGAUUUACUCAUGGAGCUGAAGUCAGUCGAAGAUACCAGCUGGCUGCAACUGUUUAUUAAAAACACAGCACUGUGCAAACACGAAAGUGGACGUAUACGGUGUGACGCCUGCCCGGUGCCGGAAGGUUAAUUGAUGGGGUCAGCGCAAGCGAAGCUCCUGAUCGAAGCCCCGGUAAACGGCGGCCGUAACUAUAACGGUCCUAAGGUAGCGAAAUUCCUUGUCGGGUAAGUUCCGACCUGCACGAAUGGCGUAAUGAUGGCCAGGCUGUCUCCACCCGAGACUCAGUGAAAUUGAACUCGCUGUGAAGAUGCAGUGUACCCGCGGCAAGACGGAAAGACCCCGUGAACCUUUACUAUAGCUUGACACUGAACAUUGAGCCUUGAUGUGUAGGAUAGGUGGGAGGCUUUGAAGUGUGGACGCCAGUCUGCAUGGAGCCGACCUUGAAAUACCACCCUUUAAUGUUUGAUGUUCUAACGUGGACCCGUUACCCGGGUUGCGGACAGUGUCUGGUGGGUAGUUUGACUGGGGCGGUCUCCUCCUAAAGAGUAACGGAGGAGCACGAAGGUUGGCUAAUCCUGGUCGGACAUCAGGAGGUUAGUGCAAUGGCAUAAGCCAGCUUGACUGCGAGCGUGACGGCGCGAGCAGGUGCGAAAGCAGGUCAUAGUGAUCCGGUGGUUCUGAAUGGAAGGGCCAUCGCUCAACGGAUAAAAGGUACUCCGGGGAUAACAGGCUGAUACCGCCCAAGAGUUCAUAUCGACGGCGGUGUUUGGCACCUCGAUGUCGGCUCAUCA
rnacentral:rRNA from 1 species